UGCACUCUUUCCCUAUCAUUCUUCAAAAGAUCCAGAUCCAGCUGAGAGGAGAGGGAGAUUCGGACAGCAGCUUCUGCCUCUUUGAUCUAUCCUCUUCAUUUUCUUUCUCCUUCAUUGAGAACGAUGCCAGCGACUGUAAGCUGCUUCUUCUUUCUUCCUUCUCUGGCUCGUGUUUGGUCUGAUUGAGAACCAGAGAAAUUGGUGUUCAGGAGCUUUAAGCUCUCGAUCCAGUCACCUUUGUCCUCCAUCGUUCAGCUCACCGUCAAUAAGAGUAGGAGGUCUGCUCGCCGCUGCUGUGACGUUCGCUGAGAACCACUGCGUCGAGGCACAGAUCGCAAGUCUAUGGCUCCCCUGUUCAGCCUUGUUGAUAUGUGAAGGAGGUUUGUGUGCUGAUCUUCAUCCCUCAAGUGCAUUAGACAUUUGGAGGAAGAGAAACAUGAUAGGAGUUAACGGAGUGAGUUUUAGAACCUGAGAGCAUUGCAGGAUGUUAUUCAUUGGAAAGCGUAGCUGAUGCUGCAUGUCCUGCUUCCCAAUGAGGGAUUUUUACUGAGCUUGGAACAAAUCUGUAAAUAUUUCCUAUUGAUGUAAAUAUGAAUUUAUGAAUUAUAUCAUGAAAAAUAUGAUUAUGUGCUCCACAUAGGCUAUAGCUAGGGUUCUGAUUCUUUUUAUUACAUUGUCUAUCUGUUGCUGAGGAAUAGAGCUUUGUAUUGUUGUAUAUAAAUUGUAAAAUUUCUAUUA